ACGGUACCCGAGGAGGAAGCCCCGGCUAACUACGUGCCAGCAGCCGCGGUAAUACGUAGGUGGCAAGCGUUGUUCGGAAUGACUGGGCGUAAAGGGCGUGUAGGUGGACUAAUCAGUCGGGUGUGAAAUAUCCAGGCUCAACCUGGAGGGUGCAUCCGAUACGGUCAGUCUUGAGUGCAGGAGAGGGCAGUGGAAUUCCCAGUGUAGCGGUGAAAUGCGUAGAUAUUGGGAGGAACACCAGUGGCGAAGGCGGCUGCCUGGACUGUAACUGACACUGAGGCGCGAAAGCGUGGGGAGCAAACAGGANUGGAUACCCUGNNAGUCCACGCCGUAAACGAUGGGUACUAGGUGUNGGAGGUAUC
rnacentral:rRNA from 1 species